rnacentral:rRNA from 1 species
CACGGAGGAUCCGAGCGUUAUCCGGAUUUAUUGGGUUUAAAGGGUGCGUAGGCGGAUUGAUAAGUCAGUGGUGAAAUUCUACAGCUUAACUGUAACAGUGCCGUUGAUACUGGGGAGCUAGGAUUUGGUUGCUGUGGGUGGAAUGUGUGGUGUAGCGGUGAAAUGCUUAGAGAUCACACAGAAUAUCGAUUGCGAAGGCAGCUCACAAAGCCAAGAUUGACGCUGAGGCACGAAAGUGUGGGGAGUCAAACAGGAUUA